GCACCCGCACAAGCGGUGGAGCAUGCUGUUUAAUUCGAAAAUACGCGAAGAACCUUACCUAGAUUUGACAUCCCCUGCAAAGCUAUAGAAAUAUAGUGGAGGUUAUCAGGGAGACAGGUGGUGCAUGGUUGUCGUCAGCUCGUGUCGUGAGAUGUUUGGUUAAGUCCAACAACGAGCGCAACCCUCAUCUUUAGUUGCUAACAUUUAGUUGAGAACUCUAAAGAUACUGCCGGUGUAAGCCGGAGGAAGGUGGGGAUGACGUCAAAUCAUCAUGCCCCUUACAUCUAGGGCUACAGGCGUGCUACAAUGGCCAGUACAAUGGGUCGCAACAUGGUGACAUGAAGCUAAUCUCAUAAAGCUGGUCUCAGUCCGGAUUGGAGUCUGCAACUCGACUCCAUGAAGAUGGAAUCGCUAGUAAUCCCGAAUCAGAAUGUCGGGGUGAAUACGUUCCCGGGUGUU
rnacentral:rRNA from 1 species